AGUGCAAUAACUUCAACUUUCAGGCCUUUUCUGGAUUGCACAGCAUAUUUCAGUAAUUAAUGCUUUUAGCAUACUGGAGCUUCCUAUCCUAUGGGUGAAGCCACACAUUUCAGCUGCUUAAUUUCUACCAACUGUGGUUAUCAAGCAACACUGCAGAAUGUUCAAAGACUUUGCUGAAAGAGCAACAACAUUCUGUAGUGGUUGCCAGUUUGUUCUCUCUCUCUUUUGUUGUUGUUGGUUGGCUGUUUUUGUGGGUUGUCUUUUCAUAUGAUGCUGAGUAGGUCAUAUAUUUAACACUGCCCUUAUCAUCUUAUAGUAUGGAAAAUUUCAUUGCUAUUUCAGAAUUUAUUUGGUAGCACUAAGCUAUUGAGAAAAAGGUACAGGAACUAAUAGCAAUGUUUUUUUUUUAAGUACAGGUUUUUCUUUUUUAACAUAUAAGAAAGGAAAGACUUAAGGGGAGUAAAGUUCAGCAGACAAGAUAGAAUGCAGGAGUGAAUUGUGCUAAGUCAGUAGAAGCAUGACAGCCUCAUAAUGGUUAACAUCAGUCAACUUAUGUGAGAUUCUGAAGUGUCAUGCCAUUAGAAGAACAGGCAAGGAAAAAAUCGCCCCUGAAUUCUGAGCACAGGUGAAGAAUGAAAGUUUAAACUGUCCCAAGUUGCCAGUAUGUGAACGAUAGGAACGCCGCCUUUAUGUGAGUGCAAAGGGACUUACUGCAGUUAACUUAAGAUUUUCUGUGUUUUAUUUGUACUUCUACUUCCUCAACAUAAUGGAUUUUCUGAACAAUGCUUUAUCUGUUAGGUUACAAAGCUAUUUUCACUAGUUUCAAGCAGUCAUCUUUGGCUGCAUGCAGUCUAGCUAGGAUGAAAUCUACCAAUAAUGUAAUGUGAGCUAACGGAGAAAAUACAGUUGGUAAGAGAGAUCAAGGCAGGAUCCAGUUUUGAUUAAUUUGAUUUUGACCUUCCCUUCAUUCCUCUUACAGAUCUUGUCACUGAAUGCCCUUUGAGCCAUUUAAAACGUACAGAUAUAUCCAUCCUAGUUUUAUUUCCAGGGAAGAACUGUAGAGGUUCAAGAUCAGGACAGUAGGGAGCACAUUGAUGUAGUGCACAAUGAAGUUCUGCUAGGAAAUGCCUGUUUGUUGUAUGCAUUUUCAGGAAAGAUUUCUCAAGAGAGUCCAGCUGAGACAAAUGAUAGAGCUGAAAAAGGAGCAGCAUAUGUUUCUAAUAUUUCUGUGGAUGUACCCAUAAUGGAAAUGGAUUAGCUGCAUACCCCUGUGCAGCACAGGUAGUUCUGUUUUGUAGAAAUGCUUUCAAUCUCUUCAAAUGUGAACAUCCAAGUGCCUGCCAGUAUCAGAAAUGUCUGUUUUGUAUAACUCGCAUUUUACCUUACUUUUUUUUCUGGAAAGAAAUAGUGUGUGGUUCUGUUUUCCAAUGGAUUUGAGUUUUUGUCAAAUAUGUGUUUACUUCUGUGUCUUUUUGUGAGAGAGAAAGCAUUGCUGUCGUUGGAAUGGAGAGAUGAGACUGUUUUGGGACUCAUAACUGGGAAUAUUCAGUCUGUGUCAGAAAUGAAAUUAACUUUUCUAGAAAGCAGGUUCACUGUGCAUAUGAGAGCCGAGCUGUUGACUAGAAGUUCACCUCUCACACCGACAGAGAUGGCUAUUCUCAGCCCAGUGUUGUUGCCUUUAUUUUCCUAGGAGGUAAGGACCAAAACCUGGAACUUGUCAUGGAUUAAGCUGCCAGCAUUUUUACUAGAGAUGAGAUUGGUAUACUUUUAUUUUUUGUUCUUCAAGUCAUAGAUUGAGUCAGGGUUGGAAGGGAUGGUAAGGAUCAUCUAGUUCCAACCCCAUCUUCUGGUAAUCUCUUGGUUAAAGCUCAGCAAAUAGUACUUAAGGGAAACCAGCUCAUUGGGUGUUCAUGGCUAGAGGAUGCAAAAGCAGAUACAUCAGUUCACACACGCUCUGAAGGCAGAGACAAGAGUGUGUUGGUGCAAGUGCUGUAUCAGCUGAUUUGGUGCCUGCAUGAAAACAUAAUCCUAGGUGUUUAAAACUGAUACACAAAUUCAGUAGCUAGUCAUGCUGUGGGUAAAUCCUUCCCAGUGCAGAUCACCUUAAUCUGAGUUCUGACAUUUUCUUGGAUAUCUGCUGUGUUAAAGAGCUCUUUGUCAGUUUCAACAAGCAUCUUAAUUUAUCCUUUAAACACUUUAUCUGAAGGAAAACAAGGAAGCCGAACCAUCCAGAGAAGACAGGGUGGUCUAAUAGAUGGAAGUAGAGCCAGGAGGAUUCUGGUUUCUAAUCCCUUUGAGCUGCUGCUUCAGUCCUUGACCUCCUCAUACUUUUGUUAACAUGCCUAGAAAAUGGAGCACAAAAACUAGAGUUUGAAAACUUGAUACUGUGUCUGUGUUGAUAUUAGAAGUAAAUGCCAAGGAUCUGA